CUGAUGCAGCACGCCGCGUGCGGGAUGACGGCCUUCGGGUUGUAAACCGCUUUCGCCUGUGACGAAGCGUGAGUGACGGUAAUGGGUAAAGAAGCACCGGCUAACUACGUGCCAGCAGCCGCGGUGAUACGUAGGGUGCGAGCGUUGUCCGGAUUUAUUGGGCGUAAAGGGCUCGUAGGUGGUUGAUCGCGUCGGAAGUGUAAUCUUGGGGCUUAACCCUGAGCGUGCUUUCGAUACGGGUUGACUUGAGGAAGGUAGGGGAGAAUGGAAUUCCUGGUGGAGCGGUGGAAUGCGCAGAUAUCAGGAGGAACACCAGUGGCGAAGGCGGUUCUCUGGGCCUUUCCUGACGCUGAGGAGCGAAAGCGUGGGGAGCGAACAGGCUUAUAUACCCUGGUAGUCCACACUGUAAACGGUGGGUACUAGGUGUGGGGUCCAUUCCACGGGUUCCGCGCCGUAGCUAACGCUUUAAUUACCCCGGCUGGGGAGUACGGCCGCAAGGCUAAAACUCAUAGGAAUUGACGG
rnacentral:rRNA from 1 species